ensembl:snRNA U6 U6 spliceosomal RNA
UAUACAGCACGUAUACUAAGAUACGAUACAGAGAAGAUUAGCAUGGCCCCUGCACAAGGAUGACAUGCAAAUUCGUGAAGCGUUCCAUAUUUUU